AGCGAACGCUGGCGGCAGGCCUAACACAUGCAAGUCGAACGGAUCCUUCGGGAUUAGUGGCGGACGGGUGAGGAACACGUGGGAACGUGCCUUUUGGUUCGGAACAACUCAGGGAAACUUGAGCUAAUACCGGAUAAGCCCCUAGGGGGAAAGAUUUAUCGCCAAUUGAGCGGCCCGCGUCUGAUUAGCUAGUUGGUGGGGUAAUGGCCCACCAAGGCGACGAUCAGUAGCUGGUCUGAGAGGAUGAUCAGCCACAUUGGGACUGAGACACGGCCCAAACUCCUACGGGAGGCAGCAGUGGGGAAUCUUGCGCAAUGGGCGAAAGCCUGACGCAGCCAUGCCGCAUGAAUGAUGAAGGCCCUCGGGUUGU
rnacentral:rRNA from 1 species